rnacentral:rRNA from 1 species
GACGAACGCUGGCGGCGUGCUUAACACAUGCAAGUCGAACGGAAAGGCCCAUCUUGCUGGGUACUCGAGUGGCGAACGGGUGAGUAACACGUGGGUGCUCUGCCCUGCACUCUGGUAUAAGCCUGGGAAACUGGGUCUAAUACCGUAUAUGACCAACUGUCGCAUUGUGGUUGGUGGAAAGCUUUUGCGGUGUGGGAUGGUCCCGCGGCCUAUCAGCUUGUUGGUGGGGUAAUGGCCUACCAAGGCGACGACGGGUAGCCGACCUGAGAGGGUGAUCGGCAACACUGGGACUGAGACACGGCCCAGACUCCUACGGGAGGAAGAAGGGGGGAAUAUGGCAAAAUGGGCGCAAGCCUGAUGCAGCGACGCGGCGUGAGGGAGGACGGCCUUCGGGUGGUAAACCUCUUUAACCAGGGACGAAGCGUGAGUGACGGUACCUGGAGAAGAAGCACCGGCCAACUACGUG